UUGGAAAAUUCCCAACUUGUUCCAGUCCUUACCACCUUUUAGGAUCAGACUCUUAAUCUAUUACCUCCCCCAAGUCGGCUAGGUUCUAUUGAUCAGCAGAACUGUAAGGAUUAUUUUUUGAAAUUGGAUUUAUAGGAAAUUAAAAAUAACUUAAUCUAAAGCAUAUUGAAGUCCAUAAAAAUUCUCCCAGUGAUUGGGCUAGGCAUUGGAUCGGACCCUAAAGGCCUGUCUUCUGGAAUAUGCACUUGGCUGAGGAGCAAGAGAAUGUUGCUCAUUGACAUAUCCAGCUGAAGAAUCCAGGCCUGCUCUUUGACUAUUCGGAUACAAAUCUAAUCCUUCCAAGCCUAAUGAUAAGGAAUGAUGAUGUUCAAUACAGGAACUGAAGAGGAUUGAAUCCCCUGGGGAGACAAUAAGUGGUGUACCUCCCAAUUUGGGUGACAAGGGGCA
rnacentral:lncRNA from 1 species